rnacentral:rRNA from 1 species
AUACCACUCUGGUCGUACUAGAUGUCUAACCUAGGUCCAUUAUCUGGAUCAGGGACAGUGCCUGAUGGGUAGUUUAACUGGGGCGGUUGCCUCCUAAAAUGUAACGGAGGCGCUCAAAGGUUCCCUCAGCCUGGUUGGCAAUCAGGUGGCGAGUGUAAGUGCACAAGGGAGCUUGACUGUGAGACAGACAUGUCGAGCAGGGACGAAAGUCGGAACUAGUGAUCUGGCCACGGCAUGUGGAAGC